rfam:Nomascus leucogenys chromosome 21, whole genome shotgun sequence.
AGCUUUGCGCAGUGGCAGUAUCGUAGCCAAUGAGGUUUAGCCGAGGCGCGAUUAUUGCUAAUUGAAAACUUUUUAUUGUGGUUAAAAACCUUUCAAAUGCGAUCUACUCUCUUAACAAAAUAUUAAGUGUAUAAUACAGUAU